UCCCACCACCGCAUCUCCCUUCUCUCGGUGCCCUAUCUCCUGCCUCCACCACUACCUCUCGAAUCCCCUGGCCACACUCGCCCCCGCAGCUACCAUAGAGGCCAACCGGUUGUCCUCAGCACCCAUGGCGAUCAGCACCUCCCGCCGCUCCGCCCACACACCGCCACCGCCGCCGGGCUGCUAGCCUCCCAUGAAGCUUCGUCUGCAGGGGACACCAAUUCUCCAAAUCAUAACCCCCAGCAUAAAAUCUGUCGAUAGAGAAGAAGCUAUGAAAUUCAACAGAUUUUAACCUUGACAAUCUGUCGACAGAUGUGUAGCAAACUGUGCAGCACUUGCGCUCCUAGAUAAUAUUUUUAUUGUAAAUCCAUUAUUAUUAGGCUAUCAGCGCAUCAACUGUGUGUUCAAAAACAGCUUUGGUGCCUUCCUGAUUUACCUUAGUUCACAUUUGUGGUUGUGGACUCCUGAGCGAUUUUCUUCAAAACGAGAGGCUCCGCAUAAUUGACUGAUUGACAAUUGACAAGCCCCGAUCUUUUCACAAGCCGCCAAAAACACGGCGAGCAUCAGCUGAUGAACAGUAAGCACUUCACUGGAUCAGUACUGCUUGUGAGUUGUGACCAUGGUUUUAAAUAGCCGGCUAUAGUCCCAUUGUGGCUCCGUUAUAUCUUUUUUUAGAGGAUUUCCGCUACGCUAUUUGUAUUUUUGCCGCCAUGGCAGCUAUGGACGCUAAAUUGGGCUAUAGCUAUGCUAAAUAGCGUAGCUUUAGCGUCGCUAUAGCCUUAUCCUUAGCUCGGUGCUAUUAUUUUGGUCUUUUGGGCAACUGAAUAUUUGAUUGUAUGAAUUUUAUUUUAUUAUCAACUUAAGUAAUGUACCCUUAACCCUAGAAACAUAUUCAUGUUUAUGAAAUUCGCUAAUUACUAUA